rnacentral:tRNA from 1 species
GGCCUAUAGCUCAGUUGGUUAGUGCAACUCAUAAUCUUUUGGUCGCUGGUUCGAGCCCAGCUGGGCCCA